UACGAAGGGGGCAAGCGUUGUUCGGAAUUACUGGGCGUAAAGGGCGCGUAGGCGGCCGAUCAAGUCAGGCGUGAAAUUCCCGGGCUCAACCUGGGAACUGCAUUUGUGACUGCAUGGCUGGAGUGCGGCAGAGGGGGAUGGAAUUCCGCGUGUAGCAGUGAAAUGCGUAGAUAUGCGGAGGAACACCGAUGGCGAAGGCAAUCCCCUGGGCCUGCACUGACGCUCAUGCACGAAAGCGUGGGGAGCAAACAGG
rnacentral:rRNA from 1 species